GAAAUCCACUAGGGGCGCCUUCAUGGCUGAGAUAAAGCGAAUGAGCUUUGGUCCCUUUGAACCUGAUCUGGGUUAUGCCAGCGUAGGAAAGUGGGAAAGUGAGUUC
rnacentral:ncRNA from 2 species